rnacentral:rRNA from 1 species
AACGAACGCUGGCGGCAUGCCUAACACAUGCAAGUCGAACGAGAUCUUCGGGUCUAGUGGCGCACGGGUGCGUAACGCGUGGGAAUCUGCCCUUUGGUUCGGAAUAACGGUUGGAAACGACUGCUAAUACCGGAUGAUGACGAAAGUCCAAAGAUUUAUCGCCAGAGGAUGAGCCCGCGUAGGAUUAGCUAGUUGGUGUGGUAAAGGCGCACCAAGGCGACGAUCCUUAGCUGGUCUGAGAGGAUGAUCAGCCACACUGGGACCGAGACACGGCCCAGACUCCUACGGGAGGCAGCAGUGGGGAAUAUUGGACAAUGGGCGAAAGCCUGAUCCAGCAAUGCCGCGUGAGUGAUGAAGGCCUUAGGGUUGUAAAGCUCUUUUACCCGGGAUGAUAAUGACAGUACCGGGAGAAUAAGCUCCGGCUAACUCCGUGCCAGCCGCCGCGGUAA